rnacentral:rRNA from 1 species
ACAGGUGCUGCAUGGCUGUCGUCAGCUCGUGUUGUGAAAUGUUGGGUUAAGUCCCGCAACGAGCGCAACCCUUAUCCUUUGUUGCCAGCGGUCCGGCCGGGAACUCAAAGGAGACUGCCAGUGAUAAACUGGAGGAAGGUGGGGAUGACGUCAAGUCAUCAUGGCCCUUACGACCAGGGCUACACACGUGCUACAAUGGCAUAUACAAAGAGAAGCGACCUCGCGAGAGCAAGCGGACCUCAUAAAGUAUGUCGUAGUCCGGAUUGGAGUCUGCAACUCGACUCCAUGAAGUCGGAAUCGCUAGUAAUCGUAGAUCAGAAUGCUACGGUGAAUACGUUCCCGGGCCUUGUACACACCGCCCGUCACACCAUGGGAGUGGGUUGCAAAAGAAGUAGGUAGCUUAACCUUCGGGAGGGCGCUUACCACUUUGUGAUUCAUGACUGGGGUGAAGUCGUAACAAGGUAACCGUAGGGGAACCUGCGGUUGGAUCACCUCCUUACCUUAAAGAA